GCGGCCUAUCAGCUUGUUGGUGAGGUAAUGGCUCACCAAGGCAACGACGGGUAGCCGGCCUGAGAGGGCGACCGGCCACACUGGGACUGAGACACGGCCCAGACUCCUACGGGAGGCAGCAGUGGGGAAUAUUGGGCAAUGGAGGAAACUCUGACCCAGCGACGCCGCGUGCGGGAUGAAGGCCUUCGGGUUGUAAACCGCUUUCAGUAGGGAAGAAGCGAAAGUGACGGUACCUACAAAAGAAGCACCGGCUAACUAUGUGCCAGCAGCCGCGGUAAUACAUAGGGUGCAAGCGUUGUCCGGAAUUAUUGGGCGUAAAGAGCUCGUAGGUCGUUUGUUACGUCGGAUGUGAAAACCUGAGGCUCAACCUCAGGCCUGCAUUCGAUACGGGCAAACUAGAGUUUGGUAGGGGAGAACUGGAAUUCCU
rnacentral:rRNA from 1 species